UGCACCUUAACGGAAACCUCAUCACUGCUUGGCACAACGGCAGAUAAAUAUGUCUGAAGAGAUUGUCUACUCUGCUAUAAAGUUAAAGGGCAAUAGUAGAGAGUCAGAGAACAUAGGAACUAAAGAGCAUGGGAAAGGUAAGGAAGUCACAUCGUUGUUACACACCAGAGAUUUGUAAACUUAUCUUUGGAGUUACACUUCUUGUUUCCUCAGCACUGUGAAAAGGUAGAAAAUGCAUACUGUCUAUACUCAUAACCACUGCUAUACUCAUAACCACUACCAUUAAAAACAAAAAAUAUUGUAGCAUAACCUUAAACUGAAAAACCUUUCAAUUUCACACUCAUAGGAAAGGAACAUAUUGGUGAUGUUGAAUACGCUGCUGUCACUUUCAGAAGAAAUGAAAUGCAUAAUCAAAAACAACAUCCAACAGGGUGUCGCAACUAUUUCAGGCUAGCUGGUGCCACUCUCUUUAUUCUGCUUAUAUGUGCGGCCGUGGUUCUAUUCAUAAUGUGUGAGUAUCACAAGCAUUACCUUGAUACCAGAACUGUAUAUGACAAUUUAAGUAAAGGUUAUUAAGUACAAUUCUACUGUUUGCAAAAUAAUUCUGUAAUUCAUAGUGAGACACGUGCCACGCAGUGAACAGAACUGGUUUGAUGAGUAUUGUGGUUCAGUUAAUAACAGAAUAUGUGAAGACUAGUCCAAGCAAAUUUAGAAACAUGGAAAGUCCUCAUUCAGGUUGACCAAGAUGUGGAAUUCUUAGCAGGAAACGAUUUUUAAUAUUUGAAUGAUUAAUCAAUUAAAUUCAUUUUUUAUGGUGAUACAAAGCAUUGUCCAAGAUAAUGAAGUUUUUCUAACUCAUAGGCUAUUUUCACCUGGCAUUAAAAUGCAUCCCGUAUCCUGAUUGUAUCUAGAUAUGAUUUUAACCUGAUAUAUUUACACCUGGACAUGUGUCUCCAGUGUUUCCAGAAGUACGUAAUAACAUAUUUCCACCCACAAAGUUGUUGUAUGUGAAUUGACAAGAAGUAAAAAAAAAAAAGCAGUUACAUAAAAAGAGGGAAGUAUUUUGCCAGAAAGGAUGAAGUAGCAGAAGACAAUCCUUAAUUUUGGCCUUGAAAAGGUAUCAGUGUGAUACUGACAUCCAAGUGUGGAAUGAUUGAAGAGAGUGAACUUUCUGGGGUAUAAAGGAUACAUGAUUAGAGAUGUGCUUGGGAUUCACUAGGCCAUUUGUACAGUUGUGAGAAUCUCCCUUUGUAAUGAGCUCUUGACAUUGUAUCUUUCUGUAAUAAAAUCUUCUUUGAUUUCA
rnacentral:lncRNA from 1 species